UACGUAGGCAGCAAGCGUUGUUCGGAAUUACUGGGCGUAAAGAGCGCGCAGGCGGUCGUUCAAGUCGCGUGUGAAAGCCCCGGCUCAACUGGGGAGGGUCACGCGAUACUGAUCGACUCGAAGGCAGGAGAGGGGAAGUGGAAUUCCCGGUGUAGUGGUGAAAUGCGUAGAUAUCGGGAGGAACACCAGUGGCGAAGGCGACUUCCUGGCCUGUUCUUGACGCUGAGGCGCGAAAGCUAGGGGAGCAAAGCGGG
rnacentral:rRNA from 1 species